CGUGUAGGCGGUUGGUCAAGUCUGGUGUGAAAGCCCGGGGCUUAACCCCGGAAGUGCACUGGAAACUAGCCAGCUAGAGCGCGAGAGAGGAGGGUGGAAUUCCUGGUGUAGCGGUGAAAUGCGUAGAUAUCAGGAGGAACACCGGCGGCGAAGGCGGCCCUCUGGCUCGUUGCUGACGCUGAAACGCGAAAGCGUGGGGAGCAAACA
rnacentral:rRNA from 1 species